UACGGAGGGGGCUAGCGUUGUUCGGAAUUACUGGGCGUAAAGCGCAUGUAGGCGGCGAUUCAAGUUAGAUGUGAAAGGCCCGGGCUCAACCCGGGAACUGCAUUUGAUACUGAAUUGCUAGAGUCCAAGAGAGGGUAGUGGAAUUCCCAGUGUAGAGGUGAAAUUCGUAGAUAUUGGGAAGAACACCAGUGGCGAAGGCGGCUACCUGGCUUGGUACUGACGCUCAGAUGCGAAAGCGUGGGGAGCAAACAGG
rnacentral:rRNA from 1 species